rnacentral:rRNA from 1 species
GACGUAGGUGGCGAACGUUAUCCGGAAUUAUUGGGCGUAAAGGAUGCGUAGAUGGUGUAGUAAGUUAUCGGUGGCAAAUCGAGGCUCAACCUCGUGGAAGUCGGUAAUACUGCUAUGCUAGAGGAUAGGAGAGGUUAACGGAACUCCCUGUGGAGCGGUGAAAUGCGUAGAUAUAGGGAAGAACACCAAUAAGGCGAAGGCAGUCAACUAUUCUGUUCCUGACAUUGAGGCAUGAAAGCGUGGGGAGCAAACCGG